rnacentral:rRNA from 1 species
GGAGGGAGCGAGCGUUGUUCGGAAUCACUGGGCGUAAAGGGCGCGUAGGCGGCCGAGUAAGUCGUGUGUGAAACGACCGGGGCUCAACUCCGUGUACUGCAUGCGAUACUGCUCGGCUAGAGAAAGGUAGAGGCGAGCGGAAUUCCCGGUGUAGCGGUGGAAUGCGUAGAUAUCGGGAAGAACACCUGUGGCGAAGGCGGCUCGCUGGGCCUUUUCUGACGCUGAAGUGCGAAAGCGUGGGGAGCAAACAGGAUUAGAUACCCUGGUAGUCCACGCCGUAAACGAUGGGCACUAGGCGUUGGGAGGAUUGACCCUCCUCAGUGCCGUAGCUAACGCGUUAAGUGCCCCCCGCCUGGGGAGUACCGGCCGCAAGGCUG